rnacentral:rRNA from 1 species
GGCAGUAAGGAUCCUAUACACGUUAGCGGAUGAGGGAGCUUGCUCCUUGAUUCAGCGGCGGACGGGUGAUUAAUGCCUAGGAAUCUGCCUGCGCAGUAGGGGGACAACGAUUUCGAAAGGAACGCAUAUACCGCAAAUUUCCUACGGGACAAACAUGGGACCUUCAGGCCUUGACCUGUCGAUGAUCCUAGGUCGGAUUAUCUACUUGGUGGGGUAAAGGGUCACCCAUGCCACAAUACAUAACUGGUCUGAGAUGAUGAUCGGUCACACUGGAACUGACACACAGGCCAGACUCCUCCAGGAGGCAGGAACGGGGAAUAUUGGACAAUGGGCGAAAGCCUGAUCCAACCCUGCCACGUGUGAGAAGAAAGUCUUCUGAUUGGAAAACACUUUGAUUUGGGAAGAAGGGCAUCCAGUUAAUACCUUGCUGUUUUAGACCUUACCUACUGAAUAAGACACCGAGCUAACUCUGUGCCGCCAGACACCGGAAUACAUCAGGGUCGUCUCGCGUUGAUCGCCAAUUACUGGGAGUAAAGCGCAACGAAUAGUGGUUCGCUUAGGUGGAUGUGAAAACCCCGGGCUCAACCUGGGAACUGCGUCCUAAACUGGUAACCUAUAUUACGGCAGAAGGCGGUGGAAUUUCCUGUGUAGCCCCGAAAUGCGUUUAUUUAAGAAGGAACACCAGUGGCAAAGGCUACCACCUGGACUGAUACUGACACUGACGUGCGAAAGCAUGGGGAGCAAACAG